UCCAUUAUCCACCUUGGAUGGCAGUUUGCAAACUGCAGCCACCCGUAAUCCCAAGAUGUUGCUGCUGGAUUUUUCCAGGUUCUCAUCACUGGUGAGCACUUAGAGAACAUCUGCAAACAGCAGGAGGGGCUGGCACAGUGUGUUCCACUGGCAGAUGACAUCUGUAACACUGGCACAUCCAACUGGCACAGGAGAGCUGCUCUGAGCUCCUGGGCAGCAUCCAGAGAGGGGAGUUUGGAGAGAUCACCUCUAAAAUUCAGCCAGGGUGCCACAAGGAGAAAGGAAAUCCUGAAGAGAGCUGGCCUGCAGCAAGGUACAGAACAGAACUAUUUAAAUCAAGAAAUAUCUCUCCUUUCUUGUCUUGGAGCUGGCUGUGUCAGUCUUCAGUUUUCAGUGGGGAAAAAUCCCAGCCCAUGGAAUUUGUGGCUUUCUAAACCAUUCCUUUGUGUGGUGACUUCACAUCAGAGCAGAUCCUGCUUCUCCAGAGGGGUGGGAGCAGGGAUUGCUGGUCCACAGGAAAUUUUGGGUUGUUGUGGCCUUGGCUGUCAGAGUGUGGGGGUUUGUUGGCCAUAAUUCCUGUUCCAAGCCAAAAAAAGCACUCACGUAAGUCAGCUCAGAUGGUUCUUCCUUUCCCUCCUUUUUCACCACUUAUUUUUGGGUGCUAAAGUUGUCACUACCGGUUGGAUGGGACAACACAGCCUUGGCAUUUUCCUCCUGCUGUGGUAGAAGAAGCAAUUUCCAUCAUUUUUUUUUGCUGGGAUUUGCCUGGAAAAUUAAAUAUCUGUGACAGCUGGUGAAGGAAAGGUUUGGGAAGGGCUUGGGUUGCCUGAUGUGUGUCCACCUUUGCCCCUGUGGGCUGUAGAGCAAAUAACCAGACCUUCCCUUUCCCUGGAGCCCUGGGACUCAUGGAUGUCUCUUCAAUUCUUGCUGGUAUUUAUAUUUGGCAAACAAUCUCAGCAGCUGGCUCAGUUUUCUGUGCUCAGGGAUGACCUCGAGCAGCUCUGAGGCUCAAAAAUGGAGUUUUUGUUGCUACAGAUGCAACAGUGCUCACCAAACCUCUGCAGGGCACCCAGGGAGCACUGAGACACUGAGACACCGUAAAAUAUUAUAAAA